AGAUUCAGAGCCUCGUUUUAAAUUGAAAGGCCGAAGUUCACCUCGUGUUUCCUGGCGGUGAUUUUCAGCGAACAAUAAAAUUGUUGCUUAAAAGCAGGGUCAAGAUGCCUUGUAAGAAAAAGAAGGUUGUCCAACAUGUGCACUCCAGCCCUGCACAGAAAUCUGCAAAGGCAGUAUCCAAUAAAUACAAAACUGAAAGGGAAGCGGAUGAGUCCGAGGAAGACGAUGGCUGUACGGAGAGCCCUUUAUAGCAAACCAGAUGAUUCCAUGGUUUUGGCACCAACAAAAAAGGAAAUGGUAUUAAGAAACUCUGUUAUUAAGGGAUACCAUUUUUUUCCAAAUAAGACCACCCAAUACCACACCCCCUACUCAGUUACUAGUCCAGCCAGAAUACACUAACAUUCAUGAUGAGUGUGCCAGUUUGGUAUGGUUACCAGAAUUAGAUACUUUUCCAGACCAUAUGCAUUCACUUAUUACGGAUGAAAAGAGGCAGCUAAAACUUCAAGAUGUGGCCGGUCUACCCAUUGGCCAUGUCCCAAGGAAUUUGGCAGGAUUCUUCCGGCCUUUAAUGGAGAGUGGACGCAUUGUAGCAGUGGUGACUGGAGAACCUGUCCCAAGCUUUCCUCCUUGGCCUGCACUAAAGGAAGAAGGAGGGGGUGUAGUGCUUCCAUGUAAUUACAUUAUCACACAUUCUGAUAUUGAGGCACAAUAUAAUAAACUUUCAGAACUGCUCAAAAGUAUCCCUGAAGGGACGGCCAUGGAACUUGU